UACAGAGGCCUCGAGCGUUAGGCGGAAUCACUGGGCUUAAAGCGUGUGUAGGCGGACUCCUAAGUACCUUGUGAAAUCCCACGGCUUACCCGUGGAACUGCUCGGUAUACUGGUUGUCUUGAGCUUUCUAGGGGCGAGCGGAACAAAUGGUGGAGCGGUGAAAUGCGUAGAUAUCAUUUGGAACGCCAAUGGUGAAAACAGCUCGCUGGGGAAAUGCUGACGCUGAGACACGAAAGCCAGGGGAGCGAACGGG
rnacentral:rRNA from 1 species